rnacentral:rRNA from 1 species
GCUGGCAGUGCGUCUUAAGCAUGCAAGUCAAACGGGAUGUAGCAAUACAUUCAGUGGCGAACGGGUGAGUAACGCGUGGAUGAUCUACCUAUGAGAUGGGGAUAACUAUUAGAAAUAGUAGCUAAUACCGAAUAAGGUCAGUUAAUUUGUUAAUUGAUGAAAGGAAGCCUUUAAAGCUUCGCUUGUAGAUGAGUCUGCGUCUUAUUAGCUAGUUGGUAGGGUAAAUGCCUACCAAGGCAAUGAUAAGUAACCGGCCUGAGAGGGUGAACGUCAC